AAGUCCCAAAAACAAUUUAACG
rnacentral:snRNA from 1 species